rnacentral:rRNA from 1 species
AUCCUGGCUCAGGAUGAACGCUAGCUACAGGCUUAACACAUGCAAGUCGAGGGGCAGCAUGAUUGAAGCUUGCUUCAAUUGAUGGCGACCGGCGCACGGGUGAGUAACACGUAUCCAACCUUCCGUACACUCAGGGAUAGCCUUUCGAAAGAAAGAUUAAUACCUGAUGGUAUCUUAAGCACACAUGUAAUUAAGAUUAAAGAUUUAUCGGUGUACGAUGGGGAUGCGUUCCAUUAGGUAGUAGGCGGGGUAACGGCCCACCAAGGCGACGAUCAGUAGGGGUUCUGAGAGGAAGGUCCCCCACAUUGGAACUGAGACACGGUCCAAACUCCUACGGGAGGCAGCAGUGAGGAAUAUUGGUCAAUGGACGAGAGUCUGAACCAGCCAAGUAGCGUGAAGGAUGACUGCCCUAUGGGUUGUAAACUUCUUUUAUACGGGAAUAAAGUGAGGCACGUGUGCCUUUUUGUAUGUACCGUAUGAAUAAGGAUCGGCUAACUCCGUG